CAACACUGCCCGCUCCAGAGUCCAGCCCCAUCUGACUCCUCCCCCUUGCCAAGCACAAACCCACAGGUGCCAUGUUCACUGAGGCGGCACGUGGGAAGGCCAUGGUUUUCAAGAGACCCAGGUCGAUGCUGCAGAAGUGACGUUUAGGGGGACAGGUGGGACCCGAGGAGUUCCGGCGCGGCUGCCAGAGCACGUGACACAGCCAUUGUGACUGUGAGUUCACGGCAGUGAGCGUUCAUCACAGGGAAGGUGUCAGAGGAAGCUCCAGGCCGGGGAGGGAGCAGACAGGGGACAGCAGAACGGAGGCAGCGACAGCGUCGGGAACGAGUUGCAGGGAGACUGGGGACAUGACGCCGUCGGGAGGAAAGGCCGUCCACUCGGACAGGGCUGCCGCAGUGCGGGACUGUGCAAGUAGGCAGCCGAGGCUUACCGACUGACGUCCGGCUGUGAGAGAACUGAGCCAUCUGUGUGCACCGAAAGGAGGACACUGAAGUCCGAAUCCCCGGAGAGACCAAAUUUGGACUUGAGUCCGCAAGCUCACAUGCUUCAGUGACUAUGGACACACAGGAAGGACCACAUCAACAAGAGCUCUUUGGAUCCAGUGCUCUGGCAUAAAACUGUGGGUAAAGCUGCUGCCUGCAGUGCCUGCAUCCCAAGUGGGCGCUGGUUUGAGUCCCGGCUG